GCCUUCGUGGUGUAGUGGUCAACACGCCCGACACCUAACCGAGAGGUCCCUGGUUCGAUUCCCGAUGAAGGCG
rnacentral:tRNA from 1 species